rnacentral:lncRNA from 1 species
AUCCUUGUUGCUUUGAAAAGUUUUGCAAAUAAAUUAUUAAAAUAAUGCUGAGUCAUACAUGGUUUUACCAAAUCUAAAAAUUAUCAUAUGAUCAUUCUCAUUCAUGUACUUUUAUGAACCAUUAUAUAGGAAUGGCAUCCUAUACUUUUAAUGCAAUUUAUACACUUUUUAAAGUAGUACCAUAGUUUAGAACUUUUUAACAGUUAUGGACCUAAAUUAAAACAUCUCAUUCUACCACUCUAUAUUUUGGCCAGUGGGUAUCAUUAGCAAAAGUAAAGAAAGAAGGAAAGACUGAUAAACACAAAAAUAAAAAAAUCAAAUUUUGACAAUAUUUCCCUCAUUAUGAAGUUUUUUACUACUUGUAGCAAAUCAAUUGACAGAGGAAUAAAUAAAAACAAAAUGCAGCAACAUUUUUGUUAAUUCGAGUGACUAGGUAAGUGCAUCUAGAAUGUUGAACAGUAUUUAUUUAUUUAAGUCCCAUUUUCAUUACUGAUACCAAAGUAAAAUUAGUUACGUAAUUUAGAAGUUAAGUUGGUUUCACUCUCACAUAAUUUCUAGUUCUUCCUCGGCUUAGAACAUGAUUUAGUUCUUUGUGUAUUAUUUUUAGAGGACGUUAGCAGAAACAUUUUGAGCAUUACGACCAAAUACUGACAAUCUGUCAGUUCAAGCACAAUUAUCUGACAUAGAUACUGGAUUUGAAACAUAGCAGGAAUAAUUAAAUGUUGAAUGCAUGGAUUAUUCCAUUGAUAUAGAAGGAUAUCUUAACAUCACUGUCUUUGGAAUACAAAGCACAUAUUGCCAAUGCAAGAACAUUUGUUCAUUUCUAUCUGGAUGGCUCGAUCAAAAGCUUCAUAAGGCCAAGUAGCAGGUUGUUUUUGUCCCUUGUGAGAUGUUCAGUGUCCAACUCAGUACCUGGCAGAGGGUCCAUUGGUGUAUAUUUAUUAAAUAAACAAAUGCUUAGGCCCCAAAAGUAACUAAAGAAAACGAUUCAACUACUCACAAUUAGCACAAUUUUCCUGUUAACUGAACCCAUUUGUAAGCUUCUCCAGUCCUUUUAUUCUUGAUUAUGUUCAGCUUACUUCAUGUGACACCUAAUGGAGGAAGCAACACAUUGAUCAUUACAAGUAAAAAAAAAAAAAAAAA